AUUGAACGCUGGCGGCAUGCUUUACACAUGCAAGUCGAACGGUAACAGGACUUCGGGUGCUGACGAGUGGCGAACGGGUGAGUAAUGCAUCGGAACGUGCCCAGUGGCGGGGGAUAACGCAGCGAAAGCUGUGCUAAUACCGCAUGUGAUCUGAGGAUGAAAGCGGGGGACCAAGCAGCAAUGUUUGGCCUCGCGCCUCUGGAGCGGCCGAUGUCAGAUUAGGUAGUUGGUGGGGUAAAGGCCUACCAAGCCGACGAUCUGUAGCUGGUCUGAGAGGACGACCAGCCACACUGGGACUGAGACACGGCCCAGACUCCUACGGGAGGCAGCAGUGGGGAAUUUUGGACAAUGGGCGCAAGCCUGAUCCAGCAAUGCCGCGUGCGGGAAGAAGGCCUUCGGGUUGUAAACCGCUUUUGUACGGAACGAAAAGGCUCUGGCUAAUACCUGGGGCUGAUGACGGUACCGUAAGAAUAAGCACCGGCUAACUACGUG
rnacentral:rRNA from 1 species